GAUGAACGCUGGCGGCGUGCCUAAUACAUGCAAGUCGAGCGAACAGACGAGGAGCUUGCUCCUCUGACGUUAGCGGCGGACGGGUGAGUAACACGUGGAUAACCUACCUAUAAGACUGGGAUAACUUCGGGAAACCGGAGCUAAUACCGGAUAAUAUAUUGAACCGCAUGGUUCAAUAGUGAAAGACGGUUUUGCUGUCACUUAUAGCUGGAUCCGCGCCGCAUUAGCUAGUUGGUAAGGUAACGGCUUACCAAGGCGACGAUGCGUAGCCGACCUGAGAGGGUGAUAGGCCACACUGGAACUGAGACACGGUCCAGACUCCUACGGGAGGCAGCAGUAGGGAAUCUUCCGCAAUGGGCGAAAGCCUGACGGAGCAACGCCGCGUGAGUGAUGAAGGUCUUCGGAUCGUAAAACUCUGUUAUUAGGGAAGAACAAAUGUGUAAGUAACUAUGCACGUCUUGACGGUACCUAAUCAGAAAGCCACGGCUAACUACGUG
rnacentral:rRNA from 1 species